rnacentral:lncRNA from 1 species
UUUAAUAAUAUUUUAUCACUUAACAACACUUUUUCUCAUUAUUCCAUGGCAUUAAGGUUCACAUCUCACUACCUUAUCACAUUUUUACUUAUGACAAGCAAAAAUCUAUGUAUUAUUAACACUAUCAGAUCUAUUAACUACCUCAAACCACGGAUUUAUGUUUUAAUACACUUAUUCAUUUCAAUUAUUAAUUACACUAAAUUUUUAAUUCAAAAAUAUAUAUUUAAUCAUGGAAAAUUCCAAGAGUACUUACUUUUUUAAUGAAC